AAGAGCACAGCUGCUGCUGGGUCUUGUCAUCCAAGUGUGAUUUUCUCCAAAAGGCAUCUGAAUAUCAGAGGCAGAGGAGACAACAAAGCCCCAGCAGAACAGGCAAGAUGCAGAUGGUGAUGACUUCUGCUCAUGCUGAGGAUUCUGAUCAAACGCUUGAGAGAAAACGAAAAGCUCUUCUAGAUCAGCGCCACCUAGAGACAUACUACAGACUACAGCGCUUGAAAGACGUGCUUUCAUACCAGCAUGCUACAUUACUGAGGGAAAAAGUUCAAAGACAAAGACAAGAGAUGAAGCAACAUGAUUCCAAACUUAGAGAAGGACAUAAAGAACAGAAGCUUGUGACCAUUCAGAGGGCCACCAGAUCAACCCUCACACACGAUGAUGCAUACUUGAGGUGUCUACCUAAAACACACUACUACCUGG
rnacentral:lncRNA from 1 species